rnacentral:rRNA from 1 species
GAGUUUGAUCCUGGCUCAGGACGAACGCUGGCGGCGUGCCUAAUACAUGCAAGUCGAGCGGACAGAUGGGAGCUUGCUCCCUGAUGUUAGCGGCGGACGGGUGAGUAACACGUGGGUAACCUGCCUGUAAGACUGGGAUAACUCCGGGAAACCGGGGCUAAUACCGGAUGCUUGAUUGAACCGCAUGGUUCAAUUAUAAAAGGUGGCUUUUAGCUACCACUUACAGAUGGACCCGCGGCGCAUUAGCUAGUUGGUGAGGUAACGGCUCACCAAGGCAACGAUGCGUAGCCGACCUGAGAGGGUGAUCGGCCACACUGGGACUGAGACACGGCCCAGACUCCUACGGGAGGCAGCAGUAGGGAAUCUUCCGCAAUGGACGAAAGUCUGACGGAGCAACGCCGCGUGAGUGAUGAAGGUUUUCGGAUCGUAAAACUCUGUUGUUAGGGAAGAACAAGUACCGUUCGAAUAGG